rnacentral:rRNA from 1 species
AUUGAACGCUGGCGGCAUGCCUUACACAUGCAAGUCGAACGGUAACAGGUCUUCGGAUGCUGACGAGUGGCGAACGGGUGAGUAAUACAUCGGAACGUGCCCGAUCGUGGGGGAUAACGAAGCGAAAGCUUUGCUAAUACCGCAUAAGAUCUACGGAUGAAAGCAGGGGACCGCAAGGCCUUGCGCGAACGGAGCGGCCGAUGGCAGAUUAGGUAGUUGGUGGGAUAAAAGCUUACCAAGCCGACGAUCUGUAGCUGGUCUGAGAGGACGACCAGCCACACUGGGACUGAGACACGGCCCAGACUCCUACGGGAGGCAGCAGUGGGGAAUUUUGGACAAUGGGCGAAAGCCUGAUCCAGCCAUGCCGCGUGCAGGAUGAAGGCCUUCGGGUUGUAAACUGCUUUUGUACGGAACGAAAAGACUCUGGUUAAUACCUGGGGUCUAUGACGGUACCGUAAGAAUAAGCACCGGCUAACUACGUG